rnacentral:rRNA from 1 species
GUGUCAGCCGCCGCGGUAAUACGAAGGGGGCGAGCGUUGUUCGGAUUUACUGGGCGUAAAGGGCGCGCAGGCGGCUUUGUUUGUCAGGCGUGAAAGCCCCGGGCUUAACCUGGGAACUGCGUUUGAUACGGCAGGGCUAGAGUUCGGGAGAGGAGAGUGGAAUUCCCAGUGUAGAGGUGAAAUUCGUAGAUAUUGGGAAGAACACCGGUGGCGAAGGCGGCUCUCUGGACCGAUACUGACGCUGAGGCGCGAAAGCGUGGGGAGCAAACAGGAUUAGAUACCCCCGUAGUCC